UCCGGUUUGUCACCGGCAGUCUGCUUAGAGUGCCCACCAUGAUGUGCUGGCAACUAAGCAUAAGGGUUGCGCUCGUUGCGGGACUUAACCCAACAUCUCACGACACGAGCUGACGACAACCAUGCACCACCUGUCUCCUUUGUCCCGAAGGAAAAGACUAUCUCUAGUCCGGUCAAAGGGAUGUCAAGACUUGGUAAGGUUCUUCGCGUUGCUUCGAAUUAAACCACAUACUCCACUGCUUGUGCGGGUCCCCGUCAAUUCCUUUGAGUUUCAGUCUUGCGACCGUACUCCCCAGGCGGAAUGCUUAAUGUGUUAACUUCGGCACCAAGGGUAUCGAAACCCCUAACACCUAGCAUUCAUCGUUUACGGCGUGGACUAC
rnacentral:misc_RNA from 1 species